GAUGUGCACCAACUUAGUAUUUGAAUGUAAGGGCAUGAUUGAUUUAAUAAUUGAAAUAUCGCGCGCGGUGCAAAUAUAAUCUGUCAUGGGACGACAUGAAGCCAAAUUAGUAGAUCAUAAAAAAGACCAAUAGAAUGAAAAAGUUGAUAAUCACUGUAAAAGUAAGUACCUUGUGGUGUAAUAUUAGUAUUUGCUCUUUUCGGUUUGGUAUGACCUGAAUUGGAUGUAUCUAUAUCUUGUAUAGGGAUUGCUGAGUUUUUGCUCUCUUUCAAUGACAUAUCCGUCGGGCUCUUAUCGGUAGCUUCUUUUUGAUGGUCCACAAUAUUCAUAUCUAUCACCUUUGGGCUCUUGUUGGUAGGUUCAUUUUGAUGGUCAUCAAUAUCCAUAUCUAUCACUC
rnacentral:lncRNA from 1 species